UCCCUGGAGGUCUAGUGGUUAGGACACAGCACUGCCACCACUGCAGCCUGGAUUCAAUUCCUGGUCUGGGAA
rnacentral:tRNA from 1 species